AAAAUUACAGUGGGAAUUAGCAGGAGCCUAAGCUGUUGUUUGCGCUGCCCAUUAGCAUCUGCCUAUUUAUCUGUCACCAGAUCCUCGUGGCAUCUAUCCAUCCAUCUGGAUCCUUGUCAGUCUGUCUGCCUAUCUAAUUAUCCAUUAGCAUGGCAAAGCGCCCCUGACAGCGGUCCCGGCGAGGCAGACGCGAGACCACCUCAGCUGCCCUUCACCAUCGCGCGGAUGCUUUUAUGAGCUUCACCGACACGCGAGCAAAACCCCGCUCGUAGGUUUCACAAAACAAUACCUUACGGCGGGCAGGGAAGGUUCCGCAAGGCUGCGGGAUGCGGAUGCAUCCAACGGCAAUGGGGGAAAGAUGGGCCGGAGCAGGCGAACGCCGGGGGGGUUGCGUGGCGGGGGUUGUCCGUAGGGCGUUGAUGGUGUAGGGGGAAUACGUGCGCGUGCCACGCUAUACGCGCACGCCACGCGCUUUCGCUGCUCGCAGAUGCUCCGUCUUGCCCAUGGAAAACAAACCCCGAGGCCUCGCCCGGCACGGGCAUCGCCGCGCCGUGCCGCGGGCAGCUCGGGUGCCGGCGGCUCUUUGUGCCCGUGCCGCCGCGUGGGGUUUCUUUGUUCGCGGCGCCGGGCAGGUUCCCCCUCCCCGCCUGCCCACGGGCCCCGGCUCAGAGCAGCCGCCGAGGAGCAAAUCAGCGGCGUUUGCAUAUUCAGAGCAGGUGGGGGCCCAUAUGCCUAAGAUGCACCAGACAAAAUUAGCCACCAUAAUCAUAAUCAAGUGUGCCGUUGUGCUGGGGGAAGGGAGAGCCUGGCAGACAAGCCUGAUAAUUAUGAAGCUCAGCAUGUGCGCAGCGGUUUUGCAACAAUUAUGCCUAGCUCAGCAAGCCGGCAAUGAUGCUCGUUACAACCACCCUCCGUCGCCCACCCGCCCGCCGGUAGCUCGCUCCCGGGAGGGCUGCGCCAGCCUCGGCCCUCCCCGAGCCGCCGUUGGGAAGGGAGCAUGAGGCCGGCGAGGGGCUGCGGGCAAGACCCCUGUCCCGGUGGGUCCGUCCCUUUGCAAGCUGGUUUGUCGUUUGGCGACAGCCGUUGCUCGGGCAUCCCCCACUGAGCUGCCCUCUGCUCUCCCUGGGCCCCCACCACCUUCCUGCACCCUCUUCUUGCAGCAAAACCCCCCGUUUCCCACCUGGACUAAACCCACGGUGUCCAAGGUCUCUCCAGAAACCAUCCUCCCCCGGCCCCGUCAGCACCCGGCUGCUCUUGCCCUGCGCGGAAAACAACCCAAACCCUUCGCAUAAAGGAGCUCUUGCUGCUCCAGCUUCACUAAAAUCAGUUUAUAUUUGCCUCCCAGGACUUUCCCUUUCCCGUCCUCCUCUGCUCGCCCUGCUCUUUGCAGGGGUGUGUUAUCUCCCACUCAUCCGCUCCGCAGGCUGGGAACGAGGGUGGUGGCAGGAGGUGACACACCAGAUUCAUCUCCAGCCGCCAGCGCUCGAGGGCCGGUGUCACGCAGCAUUUCCCUGGACGAGCCCUGGGGAAGGGGAACGGGAAGAAGCCGCGUGCGCGCGAGGCCGACGGGAGAUGCUCUGCGGCGCGGCGAGGACCGGCCCGCGCGCCGUGGUCUUGGGAAGCGGCGGCUCCGGGCUGCGCCGACGCGGCUCGGCCUCGAGCGUCGACAGGAUGCUCCACGGAGCUUUCCGACCCGUAUCCAGCGGAGGAGGGGGAAAAUAAAUUGGUUUCCUCUUUUAAAUAGGCUGGAAGCUGCCUCGGCUUAAGCUGGGUCAGGGGGUGGUGCUGAGGGAUGCUCGUGUUUCCCCGGGGGGCCCCGGUGCAAUGGGGACAGGGGGGUUGUAGCGGUUUCCCUGAUGGAUCGGCUAUAAAGGAGCUCAGCGUGCGGGGAAAUCGCGGCUCUGCUUUCCCCAGCAUCCCCCGUCUUCCCCUCUCCUGUACGGCGUUUGGGGGGGUCAGGAUGAGCCACCCCCCCCAGCCCCAGGGAAAACCCUGCUUGAAGCACAGCAGUACCUGCAGCUCUGGGGUUAAACAGCUCAAAAGGAGGGUUUUCCACGCAGGGAGGUUUGUGGACAUACUCAGCAUCCUGGCACCUCUCUGCCCGUUACCUCCCAGCUCAAUUAACAGAAAGAAGAGCCAAACCAGCACAGAAACACCCGUCGGCGCUUGAGGAUUGCUCCGCUCUGCACCAGGAUCAGCCAGGGGCUGGUUUGCUCCAGACUAGAGGAUUUAUCAGAAGAUGAUGGCAAAGCUGGGCAAGGACCAGUUUGGUUCAUUUACCGUGGGGUAUUGCCCGAAGUUCAGUGAAACAGCCCCAAAAUCCAGUUUCUGCAGGAUGGAGCAGCAAGUGCCUUUGGGGACGGCACGUGGGAGCAACUCAACAUCGUGGGGGAGAUUUUGGGUCCCCGAAGAUCUGGCCCGGCUGUUGGAAGAGCUGUCCGUGUCAGUUCCUGGGUGUCCGGCGAGUCAUUUGGGGGAUUUGCUGGAUCCUUGCCGGGCUGGUUUUUCACCCAAGAAGCAGGAAAGGACGUGAGCCUUGGCAAUUCCCCAUCACUCAGCAUCUGAUCCACGCCGAGAGGCUCUCACUCUUAUCCAUGUGGGAACAGCGGUGGUAGCAUCCGGCUCAAUUGACCAAUUUCUGUGCAGCUGGAGCAUCUGGAAACAACCAAACCAGUCCACAUCAGCCCAAUUUCCCACCUGCAGAGAUCCACUGCUUCAGCCCUGUUUUCGGUAGAGUUUGGAAUAACCCUGCAGGAACUUGGAUUCACGCCUGGUCCCUUCUUGCCCCGAAUCACCCAUCAAGAAGUCACCCUUUAUCAGGAUUUUCCAAAUCCCAGCAAACUGGGGUCAUCGUUGUGCCAUGUGCCUCCACCGAUCCUCCUCUUUCUUCCCCAAAUAUUAUGGUUUCCCUGGUCAAUCCCUUCCAGAAUAAAUGCCUUUGAUUAAAUCAUGGAGCCGGGGAUGCUGAGGGAGUUUCCCGGGGACUUUGCUGGGCCCAGGGCAGACCCCAAAUCCCCCCAUGCUGGGGGUUACUGGGGCUGCACCCAUCUGCGGCAAAGGGAUCUUAAAAUAUUCUUUGCUGGAGCUUUGGAAAGGAGCUUUCGAUUGUUUUAAUUGAUGAAGGAAUUGGACAGUGAACAGAAACACAGUCAAAUAAAUCAGCACUGCAUUUUCACCACCUUUUCCAUCCCCCAAAGCUAGUUUGGGAGCAGAGCGGCUUUGCAAGACUUGGGAAAAAGCAAGAAAAUUCCCCCACCUGUUUGCUUUUAAACAGGCUUUUUUUUAAGGAAAAAAAACAACAAAAAAACUCGAGGGCUGUGAACAGCACCUGAAACCAAGCCGGGGUGUGCUAUUCAUGCACACACGCUAUCCGAGGGGCAGGAUCCCCCACUCCACACCCCACGGGGCUAAAGAGCAGCAACUCUCCGGACUAUAAAUUCCCAGAUUCCCUGGAUCUCACCAGCUCGGCUGUUAUUGAGAUGCAGGGAGCAGGGGAGAAGGUGACCGCCGACUCCAUAAAUAUUAUUGGGGGCGACGGGGCUGCGCGGGGCCGGCGGGCGCAGACAAAGCGCCCAUUGAGCUGUCGGCAAAGGCGCGACGGCCCAGCUGCUGCGGGGAGCCAGGACGGGGGUCAAGGUCAGAGGUGGCCCCUGCCUGUAUUAUUCCCCCCCCCCCCCCCCCAACCCAGCCCCUUUCCUCAUGCCCAUAAAAUUAAUAAAGUUAAAUGGGUAUCGCCGGCUCAGCGUGCCCAUGGAGGAUGCCGGGAGAAGCGGGUGCUGACGGCAGCGGCCGUGUCGGUCAUGCAGGAGGGGAAACUGAGGCACCGUGCAAGAGCCCAGCAUCGCACCCACUCUGAGGGGGCAGUGCCAGUGUCUUUAUCCCUUGGGGACCCUUUUGCGAAUCUGUUUAAUAACAUAUAUGCUUAAAGGCUUGCAGGCUUGACAUCCCCAGCUCUGUGCUGGAGCAACCCCAGGACCAUGCCAGCGUGGCCGGGGAGCCCAUGGCCACCCCAAACCGCCCAGCACCCCUGCCCUGUGCCCAGUUCUCCCUAUGCCGAGGGUUUCUCCAUAUGGACGGAGAACCGGAGCUUUCAGCUGUGCGUGGCAGCUGCUGCAAGGGCAGCCCCCGACAGCCCCAUCCACUCCCCAGGACUGGGGGUUCAAUCCUGCUGCCACAUAAACUUAGAUUUUUAAAAUAUUUUACUCCUUAUUAAGCAAUCCCUUAGCAACGCUUGUUUCCAUGGCAAAGAGCAGAGAACCUCCAUGCUGAUGCUGAGCUUUGCCUUAAACUAUAAUUCAGCUCAUUUUAUUUGGGUGCUGCCCCAUGGGGCCAGGUCCCCAGCACCCAUGGGGGCUGUCCACCCUGGGAUAGACCAUAGGUGCCUGUUCUGGGCUCCGAGCCAGGCUGGGGACACAAAGCAAGGGCCGUUUACCUGGGAAGAGGAGGUGUGCAGCAUGCAGAGCCUCUUCGUGCAAAAAAAGGGGGCUUGGGGCACACUGUGCACCCCAAAAAAGCCAGUCUCCAUCCCCUGUAAGCCCAGCUCUGGAGCUCCUGGGGUUUAAAGGCAGAGCCGUGCCCAGCUGUGGAGCAGCCCAGGCUUCCAAAAUUACGCUCAUGAGCCCAGCCGCCAGCAGGGCUGAGGGCUUUCCUUGCUUCCCUGCACCUCCAAGCCUUAACGAACUCAAGCAAACGAGGCGCAGGACACUGGGGCAGUGCUGGGUGCCAGCGGGUGCUGCGGCACCAAACCGAACGGGAGUCAGGUGCUUUAGAGCCCGCUGGCACCGCACGGUGAGAGCUGCCCUUUGGGCAGCCUCGCUUUCCCAAAGGGGCAUUGGGAGUCACUUAAAAAUUGGGAUUCCUGCAAAAAAUCCAAAUGAAAAGGGUAUUUUUUAGUUUUCAAAAAUCCCACCGACGCUCCGUGCUCCACUUGGCAUUUUCGAAGAAAUGGGUUUAAUUCUGCUAUCUCUAUCCUCAAUGGAAAAAACUCCACUUGGGAGCAAUGGCAGGUUCCUGGGACAGACCCUCCACAGGGACAUUCCCUCCCAGAAUCACCCAAGGUCCCCAUUUUCCACCCCAGAGACCAAAAUCAGCAUUUCUGUGGGUGCGAGAACCCCGGCAGACCUGGUAUUGCUGGGUUUGCUCAUCUCCAUCUCCCCGGGAGGAGAAAGGAAACUCUCCUUCCUCACCGCGCUUUUAUUUUGCUGCAGUGGUAACGAAUUCUUGCAGCGGUUCAUGCCCUGAAGGAGCCUUAAAACCUCCCAAAUUUGACAGCCAAAAAUAGCUAUCGCUCUGCUUGUUUCCAAGUGUUCACUAGCCCUGAUUUAUUUACCCCAGUUAUUUGAAUCCGUCUCACGCUUUGAAUCCCAAAUCCUAAGCAGAAUGGAAAAAAACCUGCAUCUGUCAUUUAGAUGCUCUUGCACUCGUUGAACGGGGAGGGGGAUUAUCGUUUCUCCUGGCUGAAAGGGUGUCCCCCGUGCUGGGGUCCUGGGGAGGGCUGGAAAAGCUGAAAAAAAUCAUGGCUUUAUCAACUCCUGGGAUUUCCAAGCAUCCGGACUGUGCGGCAGCUCCAGGAGUAUUUUUCCCAGCCCUUAAUAUCCUUGUUUGCCGUGGGGGAGGCUGCCAGGACUGCGGGCAGCUGCCUGGCAGCGCACCGGGGGCUUUGCUGACUGCACCCCACAAUCGGGACAUCGGGACCCCCCACAAGCGACCGACAGCAACAAGGACAUGAGUGAAGAGGUGCCACCGCAUGCCCGGGGGACAGCGUGAGGGUCAGCCUCUUUGCAAGCGACCCGGCACAAAGCACGGCUCUCGGUGACAUGAGUGGAUGCCGUGGGGUCCAGGUGCCCAAGAAAGGCUGGAGAAAACCAAGGCUGGGAUGGAAGCGUGGGCAGGAUCCGUGCAGAUGCCCUUCCCAUCCCCAGGGUAAGGGCUUCCUCCCUCUUUUCCCAUAUAAGCAGCCCCAAGGCUGAAGCCAGACAUGCCCAGGGGGUCCCACCCGGGGGUGCCCCCCAUACCUCGGUGCCAGACGGGUUGCACGGACCGCGAGAUGACACCCCAGGAAGCUGGAAGGACACAGCCGCUGCCACCAAGCCCGAGGCACCGGGAGGAUGAGGUCUGCAGCAAAAUGAGGCGAAAGGGAAAAAAAAAAAUCACACGCAUUAAAGGUGUUCAAAGCCCCCA